GAAAAUUAUGUACUACAUCACUCUCGUUCUGGAAAAUCUUGCACUGUCAUCAGAUGAUAAUGAGGAUCUCAUCUACAGCUUGAAGGGAUGGGAUCUUGCAUUAAACCUCACAAGAAGUAAAAAUGAUCAUUGGGCAUUAUAUGCGAAGUCUGUGCUUGAUAGAACCCGCCUUGCACUUGCAAACAAGGCAGAAGCAUAUCAUCGCAUCCUGC
rnacentral:misc_RNA from 1 species